GAUGAACGCUAGCGGCAGGCUUAAUACAUGCAAGUCGAGGGACAGCACAGGUAGCAAUACUGGGUGGUAACCGGCAAACGGGUGCGGAACACGUACACAACCUUCCUUUAAGUGGGGGAUAGCCCAGAGAAAUUUGGAUUAAUACCCCGUAAUAUAGUUGAAUGGCAUCAUUUGAUUAUUAUAGCUACGGCGCUUAAUGAUGGGUGUGCGGUUGAUCAGAUAGUUGGCGGGGUAACGGCCCACCAAGUCUACGAUCAGUAGCUGAUGUGAGAGCAUGAUCAGCGACACGGGAACUGAGACACGGGCCCGACUCCUACGGGAGGCAGCAGUAAGGAACAUUGGUCAAUGGACGCAAGUCUGAACCAGCCAUGCCGCGUGAAGGAUUAAGGUCCUCUGGAUUGUAAACUUCUUUUAUUUGGGACGAAAAAGGGCCUUUCUAGGUCAACUGACGGUACCAGAUGAAUAGGCACCGGCUAACUCCGUGCCAGCAGCCGCCGUAAGAC
rnacentral:rRNA from 1 species